GGAUUACAGGUGUAUGCCACGAGGCCCAGCUAAUUUUUUGUAUUUUUUGUGGAGGGGGGGUUUCACCCUGUUGCCCAGGCUGGUCUCGAACUCCUAAGCUCAAGCUAUCCACCCACCUCAGCCUCCCAAAGUGCUGGGAUUACAGGCGUGAGCCACAACGCACAGCCUAACAAUUCAACAUUAAUAUAACCCAUACAAUUACUUAAUAAGAUUCAAAGAUUUCUAGUGAGAUCUGCAGUCUGUAUGCAUUUUCCACAGUUGACUCAUCAUCUCUCUCUCUGCUGUCUGCUGGUUCUCUGAUAGUUUGGGUCAAGAGUUUCAGCUCGUAUUCAGUUUGAGGAUUAAGUUUACGAAAGCAGAUGGCUUUCAGCUACUAGAAGAGAGAAGGUGCUAUUCUACCUUUCGAUGAUGGAAAGACUCCACAGCUCAAUCUCCAAAAUUACUUAAAUGGAUUCAUUUAGCUACCAUCUGGAGUAUCCAUCCAUAAUAACCGCGGAUCUCACUCUGUCACCCAGGCUGGAGUGCAAUGAUACGAUCACAGCUUGCUGCAGCCUCAACCUACUGGGCUCAAGCGAUUCUCCCACCUCAGCUUCCCCAGUAGCUGGAACUACAGUUGAGAGCAGAAUUUUAAUAGGCAAAAGAAAGAGAAGCCCUCACUGCUGCAGAGAGGAAUCCUGGAGAAAUGGGUUGCCCUCAGUUGUCUUUUUCUUUUUUUGA
rnacentral:lncRNA from 1 species